AUCUGGGCGGCGGAAUUCAGGAUGGCUGGCGGGCUUCGCGCUYGUCCGGUCGUUUGAUAUUUCCGUCGCCGUGUCAGACGUCGCGACCUGUUCGUCGUCGGCCCAUGCUCGGAGGAAUCGCGAUCGAGUUCGUUGCGCGGUGCGUUUCGGCGUGCCGAGCGGUGAAGACGUGGCUCUCUGGCUGACGGUGGACAGUAAGCAACGGUGUCUGGCGUCGUGUCUCGCACUCGACGCCAGUGCCGGUCUGCGACGAUUUCUUCGGGCCUCUUUCCGACCCGUCUUGAAACACGGACCAAGGAGUCUAACAUGCGCGCGAGUCGCGGGGUUUCGAGCGUACCACGGUGCGCUCGUUACUUGCGAAACCCGUACGUUGAAGGCGUAAUGAAAGUGAAUAGGGAAGAUGGCGUUCCGAGUCCACGUACCGUGAUCGAGUGUCGCGGCCGGACGUCCGCACUCCCGGGGCGUCUCAAUGGCUCGUCGCGGAUGCGGACGGUCGUCUUUCGGGGCGGCCGUCGGUCUGCGACGGGCCGAGGCGCACUCAUAGCGUGCACGUUGGUACCCGAAAGAUGGUGAACUAUGCC
rnacentral:rRNA from 1 species